rnacentral:rRNA from 1 species
UUUGUGGGGUGCUCGAGUGGCGAACGGGUGAGUAACACGUGAGUAACCUGCCCUUGACUUUGGGAUAACUUCAGGAAACUGGGGUUAAUACCGGAUAGGAGCUCCUGCUGCAUGGUGGGGGUUGGAAAGUUUCGGCGGUUGGGGAUGGACUCGCGGCUUAUCAGCUUGUUGGUGGGGUAGUGGCUUACCAAGGCUUUGACGGGUAGCCGGCCUGAGAGGGUGACCGGCCACAUUGGGACUGAGAUACGGCCCAG